rnacentral:rRNA from 1 species
GAUGAACGCUGGCGGCGUGCUUAACACAUGCAAGUCGAACGAAGCGCUAGAGAUUGAUUCUUCGGAAGAUUUCUCUUGUGACUUAGUGGCGGACGGGUGAGUAACGCGUGGGUAACCUGCCUCACACAGGGGGAUAACAGUUGGAAACGACCGCUAAUACCGCAUAACCCGCUAGGGCCGCAUGGCCCGGACGGAAAAGCUUUAUCGGUGUGAGAUGGACCCGCGUUGGAUUAGCUAGUUGGCAGGGUAACGGCCUACCAAGGCGACGAUCCAUAGCCGGCCUGAGAGGGUGAACGGCCACAUUGGGACUGAGACACGGCCCAAACCCCUACGGGAGGCAGCAGUGGGGAAUAUUGCACAAUGGGGGAAACCCUGAUGCAGCGACGCCGCGUGAGUGAAGAAGUAUUUCGGUAUGUAAAGCUCUAUCAGCAGGGAAGAAAAUGACGGUACCUGACUAAGAAGCCCCGGCUAACUACGUGCCAGCCGCCGCAGUAA